UAACGAUAAAGCGGGUGAAAAGCCCGCUCGCCGGAAGACCAAGGGUUCCUGUCCAACGUUAAUCGGGGCAGGGUGAGUCGACCCCUAAGGCGAGGCCGAAAGGCGUAGUCGAUGGGAAACAGGUUAAUAUUCCUGUACUUGGUGUUACUGCGAAGGGGGGACGGAGAAGGCUAUGUUGGCCGGGCGACGGUUGUCCCGGUUUAAGCGUGUAGGCUGGUUUUCCAGGCAAAUCCGGAAAAUCAAGGCUGAGGCGUGAUGACGAGGCACUACGGUGCUGAAGCAACAAAUGCCCUGCUUCCAGGAAAAGCCUCUAAGCAUCAGGUAACAUCAAAUCGUACCCCAAACCGACACAGGUGGUCAGGUAGAGAAUACCAAGGCGCUUGAGAGAACUCGGGUGAAGGAACUAGGCAAAAUGGUGCCGUAACUUCGGGAGAAGGCACGCUGAUAUGUAGGUGAAGUCCCUCGCGGAUGGAGCUGAAAUCAGUCGAAGAUACCAGCUGGCUGCAACUGUUUAUUAAAAACACAGCACUGUGCAAACACGAAAGUGGACGUAUACGGUGUGACGCCUGCCCGGUGC
rnacentral:rRNA from 1 species